CACGGCGCGGCCGCGGCCCCGGAGUGUCCCCGCGGCGUUUGCUCUCGGUGCCCGCUUCCCCCGAGCAGCCUGGCAGGAAGCUGCAGGGAGAUAAAUGCGUUAAAAAUAUGCUGGGAGCGUGCGGCAGCCUGGAGCGAACCGCGGCGAGCCCCGGGGCCACCAGGGACAGGGACAGGAGGGGACAGGGACAGGGACAGGGACAGGAGGGGACAGGGCAGGAGAGGCACGGCAAGGGACUUUUAAAUUGUUUUCUUAUCUCUGCUUGCCAUGAAGCAGUUUUGUGUGAAAUAAGGAAUUGAAUUCUCACAUUUACCAAGUGCUCUCUUUUUGGGGGGACUCUCUCCGGGGCCAAAGCUCUCCUCCUGCAGUCUCCCCACAUUGGGGUGUUUAUAAAACAAGGGGGAUUUUGGAGACCCGAAACUCCUGCGAAGCCACUUUUCCCUUCAACAACCUCGGAAGAGGGAAGAGGGGGAAGCCGCUUUAUGAAGGGCCUGUGGUGAUGUUUCCUUUGCCACCUCUCUGGCAGCUCUGGAGUGGAUUCCCUUCUUCCCCUCCCUUGCUAAACAUCCACCACCCUGCUCUGCAGAAUCCUUGUGCCAGCGAUGGAUGGAAAAGGAUCUGGUGAAGCUUGUGAGCAGUGGAAGCUCAGGGAUGAAGGGAAUGAUGCUGCUGGAAGCCCAGCCUCCUUCAGGAUGAGCUGUCACCUGGACCACAGCAGGGGGACAGUGAUCUCCAGCAGCACUGACCCUGUGCUGGCCUGGAAGUUUGGAUGCACAAUCCCAGGGAAACAGGGCUGGAAGGUGUCCCGUGGCUGUUUUCGCCAGUCCUGCUGCCCUGCUCUGCUCCCACAUUCGGAGCUCAAACACAAGGAGUGUCUCCUGGUGAAUGCAGCCAGGACCAGGGGAGAGGAUUCCUCACUGCCCGCCUGAGGCCUCAGUUCCAGCGUGGUGCUUCAUGUGAGGCAGAGCUUUGUAUGGCCUCGAUUCUGUCCUCUUCAGAAAAUGACAGUCUAGGCAUCAUCAUUUUCUGUGGUGCUGAAAAAAAUUCAAUUUCGAGCCCCAGAUAUUUGCAUCCUCUAAGGCAGUGUCCUAUAAAUCUAGUUACAGGUUCUUCCCUAUUAGCAGUACAUGCUGGAACACUUUUGAAUGUGAACAAUGGUGAUGGAGAAGGAUAAAACCGAAAUAGUGCUCCUGUGGCUUUGUGCAGGGUAGAAUUAGGGAACAUAAUCCAAAUAAUAACAUCUCAUGCUUUUAUGGGGCUGUGUGCAUAUGGCGUAGAUGACAGCUCAUUAAACUUUAUAUCCUGCCUACAAGAUAA